rnacentral:rRNA from 1 species
GAUGAACGCUGGCGGCGUGCCUAAUACAUGCAAGUCGAGCGAACAGACGAGGAGCUUGCUCCUCUGACGUUAGCGGCGGACGGGUGAGUAACACGUGGAUAACCUACCUAUAAGACUGGGAUAACUUCGGGAAACCGGAGCUAAUACCGGAUAAUAUAUUGAACCGCACGGUUCAAUAGUGAAAGACGGUUUUGCUGUCACUUAUAGAUGGAUCCGCGCCGCAUUAGCUAGUUGGUAAGGUAACGGCUUACCAAGGCAACGAUGCGUAGCCGACCUGAGAGGGGGAUCGGCCACACUGGAACUGAGACACGGGCCCGACUCCUACGGGAGGCAGCAGUAGGGAAUCUUCCGCAAUGGGCGAAAGCCUGACGGAGCAACGCCGCGUGAGUGAUGAAGGUCUUCGGAUCGUAAAACUCUGUUAUUAGGGAAGAACAAAUGUGUAAGUAACUAUGCACGUCUUGACGGUACCUAAUCAGAAAGCCACGGCUAACUACGUG